rnacentral:misc_RNA from 1 species
GAUAAGACAUUGAAGAAAAUGCUUAGAAAUCCAACGUACUAUAACCUUACAAGCACCAAAGGCAUGAAAAACAUUAACGUGAAAAUGUCUUAAUUAUAGAUCAUUUAUGAAAUUUCUUUAGCAUUUGCAGAAGAGUGGUGGAGGAUUUCUGGACUUGUAGCUCAUGUGGUAGCAUGUGCAGGAUGCUCAGCCAGAUUCAGACGGAUAAUAUAGGGAUAGAUGACAGAACCACAAUAUAGAUGAGUUCCAAUCUUUACCCCACUUGAAAUCAGUAUUAACCCUGGAUCAUGGUAAUGUGUAAUUAAUUUCCCAUCCAAAUUCACCACAAAUACACCAGCGUUCUUCUGUGUUCGCAAGUUUACAAUGUACUUAAAUACAAUUCUUGCAACCUUUCGGAUCACAGGAUACCUGAAUGCUACCUUCCAGAAAGGUGUAAUUUCCGAGACUGAUGCAAUCCAAAAGUGGCCACCUCCAUCAUAAUGAAUGUUAUCAGGCAUUCCAGGCAUAUCAACAAAUUUUUCUGUGUGCCCUUUUUUAUUUCCUUUUAUGAAAUAUCGUUUACACCUGCUCAUAGGGGUUUCACAGUAGAUAAGAGAUUCUUGAUCAGGAGAAAUUGCAAGCCCAUUUGCAAAGUAGAGAUCAGCUAGCAGAACUUUGGUCUUUUUGGUUGCAGGAUCAUAACUCAGUAAACGACCAUUAGGCUUACCCUCUAAAAAGUCCCACGUGACAUCAUGAAGGUAGUACUUGCACGAAGCAUCUGUAAAAUAGAUAAUUCCAUCAUCUGCUAUAUCUACACCAUCUGCGAGUUUGAAUUUUACACCGUCUGCCUCAUCUGUCAGCAACUCCACUGCACCUUCUGCACUUAUCUUCAGCAGCCCCUUAUAGGCAUCGGCUACAAUGACAUCGUUGUCGCGCCCCAGGACAAGCCCAAGGGGUCUACCGCCAGUAUUGACCCAAUUCUCCACCACCGUAUCGGAAACUGAUGAGUCAUUCACCGUGACUCGCUUUAUCCACCCAUCUUCACAAGUUGUGUAAAUGACUCCCGAUUUGCUGUCAUACGCAAUAUCUUCUGCUCCCGGCAACUCCCCGACGCCAAGAAAUUCUGCUCCUUGAAGAAGGCGACCAUUCUUCAACGAAGGCUCUGGCAGUGGGUGAGUCAACUCGUGGUAAGGGAAAGGAGCUGGGUCGAAGGAGUCGAGGUGGAAAAGGAGUAGAGCAGCUAAAACGGGGGCAACUACAGAGAAAAGAAUAGCGUUGAAGGGGCAUGAUGAGGUCCUCCUUGAGGAGAUUGGGCGAGCUGUAUUGUUCGGAGGGUUCAUUGCAAUGGCUGGUAGU